GACGAACGCUGGCGGCGCGCCUAACACAUGCAAGUCGAACGAGGUCUUUUAGGAAGCUUGCUUCUUGGCUGACCUAGUGGCGGACGGGUGAGUAACACGUGAGCAACCUGCCGGGGAGUGGGGGAUAACGUCUGGAAACGGACGCUAAUACCGCAUAACAUGUCGGAGGGGCAUCCCUUUGGUAUCAAAGGAGCAAUCCGCUGAAAGAUGGGCUCGCGUCCGAUUAGAUAGUUGGCGGGGUAACGGCCCACCAAGUCUGUGAUCGGUAGCCGGACUGAGAGGUUGAUCGGCCACAUUGGGACUGAGACACGGCCCAGACUCCUACGGGAGGCAGCAGUGGGGAAUAUUGCACAAUGGGGGAAACCCUGAUGCAGCGACGCCGCGUGAGUGAAGACGGUCUUCGGACUGUAAAGCUCUGUUGUAGGGGACGAUAAUGACGGUACCCUACUAGAAAGCCACGGCUAACUACGUGCCAGCAGCCGCCGCCGUAAAAC
rnacentral:rRNA from 1 species